CUACGGGGGGCAGCAGUAAGGAAUAUUGCGCAAUGGAGGCAACUCUGACGCAGCCAUGCCGCGUGCAGGAAGAAGGCCUUAUGGGUCGUAAACUGCUUUUAUUUAGGAAUAAACCCCCGAACGUGUUCGGGGCUGAAGGUACUAAACGAAUAAGCACCGGCUAACUCCGUGCCAGCAGCCGCGGUAAUACGGAGGGUGCAAGCGUUAUCCGGAUUUCUUGGGUUUAAAGGGUGCGCAGGCGGGCUAUUAAGUCAGUGGUGAAAUCCCGGGGCUCAACUCCGGAACUGCCAUUGAUACUGAUGGUCUUGAGUUUGGUUGAAGUGGGCGGAAUGUAGCAUGUAGCGGUGAAAUGCAUAGAUAUGCUACAGAACACCAAUCGCGAAGGCAGCUCACUAAGCCAAAACUGACGCUCAUGCACGAAAGCGUGGGGAUCAAACAGGAUUAGAUACCCCAGUAGUC
rnacentral:rRNA from 1 species